rnacentral:rRNA from 1 species
GAAUAUUGCGCAAUGGGGGAAACCCUGACGCAGCAACGCCGCGUGGGUGAUGAAGGCUUUCGGGUCGUAAAGCCCUGUCAGCGGGGAAGAAACUCCGGGAUUCGAAUAGGGUCUCGGAUUGACGGUACCCGCGGAGGAAGCACCGGCUAACUCCGUGCCAGCAGCCGCGGUAAAACGGAGGGUGCGAGCGUUGUUCGGAAUUACUGGGCGUAAAGCGCGUGCAGGGGGUCUCUUAAGUUCCGUGUGAAAGCCCACGGCUCAACCGUGGAACGGCGCGGGAUACUGGGAGACUUGAGUACGGGAGAAGAGGGCGGAAUUCCCAGUGUAGAGGUGAAAUUCGUAGAUAUUGGGAGGAACACCGGUGGCGAAAGCGGCUCUCUAGACCGAUACUGACGCUCAUACGCGAGAGCGUGGGUAGCAAACAGG